UUGUAAAUGAUACUCACUAUGGGCUUUUUGUAGAUAGGCUUUAUGAUGUUGAGGUAUGUUCCCUCCAUCCCUACACUGUGGAGAGUUUUAAUCAAGAAAAGAUGCUGU